rnacentral:rRNA from 1 species
AACCUUUGCAAUGUGCGCAAGCACGACAAGGUUAAUCCGAGUGUUUCCUGCUAAAGGAAUCUUUUGUUAGUUGUAAAACCACUAUCGAAUAAGGGGUGGGCAAGUUCUGGUGUCAGCCGCCGCGGUAAAACCAGCACCUCAAGUGGUCAGGAGGAUUAUUGGGCCUAAAGCAUCCGUAGCCUGUUCUGUAAGUUUUCGGUUAAAUCCAUUAGCUCAACUAAUGGGCUGCCGAAAAUACUGUAGAACUAGGGAGUGGGAGAGGUAGACGGUAUUCGGUAGGAAGGGGUAAAAUCCUUUGAUCUAUUGAGGACCACCUGUGGCGAAGGCGGUCUACCAGAACACGUUCGACGGUGAGGGAUGAAAGCUGGGGGAGCAAACCGGAUUAGAUACCCGGGUAGUCCCAGCUGUAAACGAUGCAGACUCGGUGAUGCCCUGGCUUGUGGCCAGUGCAGUGCCGCAGGGAAGCCGUUAAGUUUGCCGCCUGGGAAGUACGUACGCAAGUAUGAAACUUAAAGGAAUUGGCGGGGGAGCAC